rnacentral:rRNA from 1 species
CCUUGUACACACCGCCCGUCACACCACGAAAGUGAGUUGGACCAGAAGUCGCCGCGUUAACCCGUAAGGGAGGCAAGCGCCUAAGGUCGGGCUCAUGAUUGGGGUG